GUGAGGGGUAACGGGGAGCCCGGGCAGGUGAGGGGUAACGGGGAGCCCGGGCAGGUGAGGGGUAACGGGGAGCCCGGGCAGGUGAGGGGUAACGGGGAGCCCGGGCAGGUUGAAUUUGACCAGUUCAGCCCCAGAAUCUUCUGGGACUCCUGGCCCAGGUGGGGAAUUUGAGCUUCUCCACCCGAGGAGGAGCUGUGCAGAGCCACUGGGAGCCGGUGAGGAGCAGCCGCUGCAGCCACGGGCAUGUGGUGUCAGGAUGUGCCAAUCGGAAAACCGCCCAUUCACAAUCCGGAACCAAGAAAAUGCCAUUCUCAUCAUUCUGGAAUUCAGAAAAGAAGAAAAUGAAGAAUGUUUCCUGUGACCUGAUGUGUAAAUGACUUUCAUGUAAACUAGCCCAGGGGG
rnacentral:lncRNA from 1 species